GCUGAGAUAGCUCAGUCAGUAGAGCAUGAGACUCCUAAUCUCAGGGCCAUGGGUUCCAGUGCAGUUGGGCAAACAAAUCCUGCUUUGCAGAG